rnacentral:rRNA from 1 species
GGAUUAGAUACCCUGGUAGUCCACGCCGUAAACGAUGAGUGCUGGGUGUCUUGGGUAUUGACCCCCGAGGCGCCGUAGCUAACGCGUUAAGCACUCCGCCUGGGGAGUACGGUCGCAAGACUAAAACUCAAAGGAAUUGACGGGGGCCCGCACAAGCGGUGGAGCAUGUGGUUUAAUUCGACGCAACGCGCAGAACCUUACCAGGGCUAGAAAAGGUAGGAACCCGGGAGAAAUCUUGGGGUGCUCGCAAGAGAGCCUACAUCCAGGUGCUGCAUGGCUGUCGUCAGCUCGUGCCG